rnacentral:lncRNA from 1 species
GUCGUCACUUAGAGGAAGUGCCAGGGACGCAUGCUUCUGGUUGGUAUUUGUGUGAGCUGAUAGGCUUUGAUGAUGGGCUUGGGUGUGUGUGUGCACGUAUGCGUUUAAUAGCAAGUUCAAGUUCAGUGUAACUGCCUUUGGAACAAUAGUUUCCAUUCUCUGCAGCCAGUACCUGGGUCACUCCCUUGAUAAUGGGCUCACUGUACAGCUGUGAACUGUGAAUUCAGGGACAUGUAUUUCUGCCCAGCCUUGAGGUUGCAAGCACCCAGCACAUCCACACACCUCGAUGAAAGGGGCUUCUGGAAUGCCAUUUGCACAUCUAAAUAAAUCCACCCUCAAC